UACGGGGGGGGCAAGCGUUGUUCGGAAUUACUGGGCGUAAAGGGCUCGUAGGCGGCCAACUAAGUCAGACGUGAAAUCCCUCGGCUUAACCGGGGAACUGCGUCUGAUACUGGAUGGCUAGAGGUUGGGAGAGGGAUGCGGAAUUCCAGGUGUAGCGGUGAAAUGCGCAGAUAUCAGGAAGAACACCCGUGGCGAAAGCGGCUCUCUGGAACGGGACUGACGCUGAGACGCGAAAGCGUGGGGAGCGAACAGG
rnacentral:rRNA from 1 species